UUAGGGCCGGUUCACACCGGAACGGCAGCGGCGCGGCGAGCACUUUCAGUGCGAAAGAGGUCCAGA